rnacentral:tRNA from 1 species
GCACUUAUGGUGGAAUUGGUAGACACGCAAGCUUGAGGGGUUUGUGUCCAUUAGGACAUGCAGGUUCGACUCCUGUUAAGUGCA